rnacentral:rRNA from 1 species
ACUCCUACGGGAGGCAGCAGUGAGGAAUAGUUGGGCAAUGGAGGCAACUCUGACCCAGCCAUGCCGCGUGCAGGAAGACGGCCCUAUGGGUUGUAAACUGCUUUUAUACAGGAAGAAACGCAUCUACGUGUAGGUGUUUGACGGUACUGUAAGAAUAAGGAUCGGCUAACUCCGUGCCAGCAGCCGCGGUAAUACGGAGGAUUCGAGCGUUAUCCGGAAUCAUUGGGUUUAAAGGGUCCGUAGGGCGGUACUUAUAAGUCAGUGGUGAAAUCUUCCAGCUCAACUGGGAAACUGCCAUUGAUACUGUAGGACUUGAAUAUUUGUGAAGUAAACUAGAAGUAUGUAGUGUAGCGGUGAAAUGCUUAGAUAUUACAUGGAAUACCAAUUGCGAAGGCAGGUUACUAACACGAUUAUUGGACGCUGAUGGACGAAAAGCGUGGGGUAGCGAACAGGAUUAGAUACC